AAAAAAGACCACUUGCGUGGUCUC
rnacentral:sRNA from 1 species